rnacentral:rRNA from 1 species
UACGUAGGGGGCAAGCGUUGCCCGGAUUUAUUGGGCGUAAAGGGCGCGUAGGCGGCUCGGCACGUCCGUUGUGAAAUCGCCCGGCUCAACUGGGCGGGGUCAGCGGAUACGGCCGAGCUUGAGCAAGCUAGGGGGCAAUGGAAUUCCCGGUGUAGUGGUGGAAUGCGUAGAUAUCGGGAGGAACACCAGUGGCGAAGGCGGUUGCCUGGAGCUUUGCUGACGCUGAUGCGCGAAAGCGUGGGGAGCGAUCCGG